ACCUACGGGGGGCAGCAGUGGGGGAUAUUGCACAAUGGGGGGAACCCUGAUGCAGCGACGCCGCGUGGGUGAAGGAGUGCUUCGGCAUGUAAAGCCCUAUCGGCAGGGAAGAAGCAAGACGGUACCUGACUAAGAAGCCACGGCUAACUACGUGCCAGCAGCCGCGGUAAUACGUAGGUGGCGAGCGUUAUCCGGAUUUAUUGGGCGUAAAGCGUCCGCAGCCGGUUUAUUAAGUAUAGAAUAAAACUUCGGGGCUCAACCCCGUCUCGUUCUAUAAACUGAUAGACUAGAGUGUGGUAGAGGCA
rnacentral:rRNA from 1 species